rnacentral:rRNA from 1 species
UACGUAGGGCGCAAGCGUUAUCCGGAAUUAUUGGGCGUAAAGAGCUCGUAGGCGGUUUGUCGCGUCUGCCGUGAAAGUCCGGGGCUUAACUCCGGAUCUGCGGUGGGUACGGGCAGACUAGAGUGCAGUAGGGGAGACUGGAAUUCCUGGUGUAGCGGUGAAAUGCGCAGAUAUCGGGAGGAACACCGAUGGCGAAGGCAGGUCUCUGGGCUGUAACUGACGCUGAGGAGCGAAAGCAUGGGGAGCGAACAGG